rnacentral:rRNA from 1 species
CCCUUAGAUGUUCUGGGCCGCACGCGCGCUACACUGAGCCCUUCAUCGAGUUUACAACCUUGGCCGGUAGGUCUGGGUAAUCUUCUCAAAGGGGCUCGUGCUGGGGAUAGAUUAUUGUAAUUUUUAAUCUUCAACGAGGAAUUCCUAGUAAACGCAAGUCAACAGCUUGCAUUGAUUACGUCCCUGCCCUUUGUACACACCGCCCGUCGCUACUACCGAUUGAAUGGCUUAGUGAGCCCGAGGGACUGUUGCACCUAGAGGGUUUUCUCCCCAGGAGCAGCCGGGAACUCGGUCAAACUUGAUCAUUUAGAGGAAGUAAAAGUCGUAACA